GGGGAGGUGAUGGGGCUCGGGCAAGAAGGGCUUCACGGAGGAGGUGCUGUGUGAGCAGAGUGUCGAGAGGCACGAGGAUGUGGUGUGAGCCGGGGUCAGCUGGAGAUGUGUGGUUUCGGCUGAUGCUACCAGCGGUUCCGUGGAGUUUAAGGCUUGAGCCGGGUGUGACCAGAGGUGUGGGAUGGGGCCACUUCAAUCUGAGGGUCGUGGGGAGUCGCUCAGGGCAUUUGAGAGAGAGAGAGGACUCGAUCGUUUGUGGUUUAGAGGGAAGCCUGGUGUUGACAGAUGAAGAACGAUGCAGCCGAGGAAAGGGACCCGGCCUAGACGACUGGAGAGAGGAACCAUCCUUUGAGCAGAGAAGGCGGUGACAGUCAGGCCUGAGGACACACUUCCCCCUCCGCCUCCGGCUCAAGCUGUCACCCUCACCCCAGCCCCUCACCGCUGUGGCCACCUCGCCUGGAUGAACUGGCCUGCUUCGUCUCAUCCUUCUCUGAACCCCCACGGCCCAUGUCUCCACGCCACUUAGGCUGACUAAAGCAAAGUGGGGAAAAAUCGUAUCUGGACAAAGGAAACUUCUCUCUCUAAAUCUAAAAGACUCAUGUCGGGAUCCCUGGGUGGCGCAGCGGUUUGGCGCCUGCCUUUGGCCCAGGGCGCGAUCCUGGAGACCCCGGAUCGAAUCCCACGUCGGGCUCCCGGUGCAUGGAGCCUGCUUCU